rnacentral:rRNA from 1 species
GUGAGGAAUUUUCCGCAAUGGGCGAAAGCCUGACGGAGCAAUGCCGCGUGGAGGAUGAAGGCCUAUGGGUUGUAAACUUCUUUUCUCAGAAAAGAAUUAUGACGGUAUCUGAGGAAUAAGCAUCGGCUAACUCUGUGCCAGCAGCCGCGGUAAGACAGAGGAUGCAAGCGUUAUCCGGAAUGAUUGUGCGUAAAGCGUCUGUAGGUUGUUUAAAAAGUAUUCUGUCAAAGAUUAGGGCUUAACCCUAGAUAGGCAGAAUAAACUUUUAAGCUAGAGUUUGGUAGAGGCAGAGGGAAUUCCCGGUGGAGCGGUGAAAUGCGUAGAUAUCGGGAGGAACACCAAAGGCGAAGGCACUCUGCUGGGCCAAUACUAACACUGAGAGACGAAAGCGAGGGGAGCAAAUGGGAUUAGAAACCCGAGUAGUCC